UGAUUCUCUAUGGGUCUCUAUGGGUCCCGCUAUGGGUCCCUAUGUGUCUCUAUGGGUCCCUAUGAGUCUCUAUGGGUCCCUAUGGGUCUCUACGUGUCCCUAUGGGUCCCUAUCGUUCUCUAUGGGUCCCUAUGUGUCCCGCUAUGGGUCUCUAUGGGUCCCUAUGUGUCCCUAUGGGUCUCUAUGGGUCCCUAUGAUUCUCUAUGGGUCUCUAUGGGUCCCGCUAUGGGUCCCUAUGUGUCCCUAUGGGUCCCGCUCUGGGUCUCUAUGUGUCUCUAUGGGUCCCUAUGGGUCUGUAUGGGUCCCUAUGCGUCCCUAUGUGUCCCUAUGGGUCUCUAUGGGUCCCUAUCGUUCUCUAUGGGUUUCUAUGGGUCCCGCUAUGGGUCUCUAUGGGUCUCAGUGCGUCUCUAUGUAUCUCUAAGGGUUUCCGUGGGGCGCGCACUCACGUGGCGCCGGUCGAUGGGGGGGUGGCAGAGGGAGACGGCGACGGCGACGGCGCACGUGGCGACGAAGAGGAGGGCGGCGAAGUGCAGGUAGUGCAGGCCGCACAGGAAAUCCGGGCAACGCCCCGCCCCCCACGCCGCCCCGCUUCCGGUUCCCCCGCUUUCCAUUCCGACGCUUCCGGGUUCCGGGGCGGAGCUUCCGGUGCCGGAGCUUCCGGUGCCGGAGAAGCCGCUUCCGGUGCCGACCGCCCUCAUCCAGGCGCUGGAGGUGAGGUUUCCGGUCUCGCCGCUUCCGGUCUCGCCGCUUCCGCUUCCGGCCUGGCACGGCGACGUCCCCGUUCCCAUGGCGAACUCGGGAACCAUGCGGGCCAGGCCCAGCGCCAGCCCGGCGGCCAGGCCCCAGAACGCGCCCUGUGGGGGAGGACCGGGUCGCCUCGGUGGCCACUGCGUGCCCUUGGCGGCCAUUUUGUGCCCUUGGUGGCCACUUUGGGUCACUUGCUGGCCACCUGGGUCGCUUGGCGGCCAUUUUGUGCCCUUGGUGGCCACUUUUGGUCACUUGGUGGCCACCUGGGUCACUUGGCGGCCAUUUUGUGCCCUUGGUGGCCACUUUUUGUCACUUGGUGGCCACCUGGAUCACUUGGUGGCCAUUUUGUACCCUUGGUGGCCACAUUUUUUGUCGCUUGGUGGCCACCUGGGUUACUUGGUGGCCACUUUUUGUCACUUGGUAGCCACUUGGGUCGCUUGGCGGCCAUUUUGUGCCCUUGGUGGCCACUUGGGGGGCUUGGUGGCCAUUUUGUCACUUGGUGGCCACUUGUGUCGCUUGGCGGCCAUUUUGUGCCCUUGGUGGCCACUUUUGGUCACUUGGUGGCCACAUGGGUCACUUGGCGGACAUUUUGUGCCCUUGGUGGACACUUUUGGUCACUUGGCGGCCAUUUUGAGCCCUUGGUGGCCACUUUUGGUCACUUGGCGGCCAUUUUGUGUCACUUGGCGGCUAUUUUGUGCCCUUGGUGGCCACUUUGUGCCCUUGGCGGCCAUUUUGUGCCCUUGGUGGCCACUUUUGGUCACUUGGUGGCCACUUUUUGUCACUUGGUGGCCAUUUUGUGCCCUUGGUGGCCAUUUUGUGCCCUUGGCGGCCAUUUUGUGCCAUUGGUUGCCACUUUUGGUCACUUGGUGGCCACUUGGGUCACUUGGCGGCCAUUUUGUGCCCUUGGUGGCCAUUUUGAGCCCUUGGUGGCCACUUUGUGCCCUUGGCGGCCAUUUUGAGCCCUUGGUGGCCACUUUUGGUCACUUGGCAGCCACUUGGGUCACUUGGCGGCCAUUUUGUGUCACUUGGCGGCCAUUUUAUGCCCUUGGCGGCCAUUUUGUGCCCUUGGUGGCCACUUUUUGUCACUUGGUGGCCACUUUUGGUCACUUGGCGGCCAUUUGUGUCACUUGGCGGCCAUUUUGUGUCACUUGGCGGCCAUUUUGUGCCCUUGGUGGCCACUUUGGGUCACUUGGUGGCCAUUUUGUGCCCUUGGUGGCCAUUUUGUGCCCUUGGUGGCCACUUUUGGUCACUUGGUGGCCACCUGGAUCACUUGGCGGCCAUUUUGUGCCCUUGGUGGCCACUUUGUGCCCUUGGUGGCCAUUUUGUGCCCUUGGUGGCCACAUGGGUCACUUGGCGGCCAUUUUGUGCCCUUGGUGGCCAUUUUGUGCCCUUGGUGGCCANNNNNNNNNNNNNNNNNNNNNNNNNNNNNNNNNNNNNNNNNNNNNNNNNNNNNNNNNNNNNNNNNNNNNNNNNNNNNNNNNNNNNNNNNNNNNNNNNNN
ensembl:lncRNA